rnacentral:misc_RNA from 1 species
AGUCAUCAACUCCUCCCGUUUUGAAAUAUAAGUGGGUAUCGAGUUGGAUGGUUGGGGGUCUGCUGCCGUCUGGCUGCUCCCCUCAAAUGCAUCGGUUGGGCCUGUGGGUCGAACUCGACUGGGCGUUGUACCAUCCUCGCUCUGACCGAGAUGUUCCCCUUUUGUGUGCCCUGCCCUGACCUGCCUUUUGGAGUGGCGGUCAAGCUUAACUUUGAAAU